rnacentral:misc_RNA from 1 species
GAUGAAGAACGUAGCGAAAUGCGAUACUUGGUGCGAAUUGCAGAAUCCCGUGAACCAUCGAGUCUUUGAACGCAAGUUGCGCCCGAAGCCAUUAGGCCGAGGGCACGCCUGCCUGGGCGUCACACGUCGUUGCCCCCCCAUCUACUCCUUCGGGAUUGCGGGGGGCGGAUGACGGCCUCCCGUGCGCCUCGUCGCGCGGUUGGCAUAAAUGCCAAGUCCUCGGCGACGCACGCCACGACAAUCGGUGGUUGCGAAACCUCGGUUGCCCGUCGUGUGCGGUCGUCGCGCAUCGAGGGCUCGAAAAAAUUGCCGGGCUCCGGCUCGGCUUUCAACGCGACCCCAGGUCAGGCGGGGUUACCCGCUGAAUUUAAGCAUAUCAAUAAGCGGAGGA